rnacentral:tRNA from 5 species
GGGGCUAUAGCUCAGCUGGGAGAGCACCUGCUUUGCAAGCAGGGGGUCAUCGGUUCGAUCCCGAUUAGCUCCACCA